rnacentral:rRNA from 1 species
GAUGAACGAUGGCGGCGUGCCUAAUACAUGCGAGUCGAGCGAACGGACGAGAAGCUUGCUUCUCUGAUGUUAGCGGCGGACGGGUGAGUAACACGUGGAUAACCUACCUAUAAGACUGGGAUAACUUCGGGAAACCGGAGCUAAUACCGGAUAAUAUUUUGAACCGCAUGGUUCAAAAGUGAAAGACGGUCUUGCUGUCACUUAUAGAUGGAUCCGCGCUGCAUUAGCUAGUUGGUAAGGUAACGGCUUACCAAGGCAACGAUGCAUAGCCGACCUGAGAGGGUGAUCGGCCACACUGGAACUGAGACACGGUCCAGACUCCUACGGGAGGCAGCAGUAGGGAAUCUUCCGCAAUGGGCGAAAGCCUGACGGAGCAACGCCGCGUGAGUGAUGAAGGUCUUCGGAUCGUAAAACUCUGUUAUUAGGGAAGAACAUAUGUGUAAGUAACUGUGCACAUCUUGACGGUACCUAAUCAGAAAGCCACGGCUAACUACGUG